UCACCACAGUGGGUUUCUACGUUGAGGGU
rnacentral:piRNA from 1 species